CUUAUAAUGCAAAUAAUUAACUUGUUGACAGCAAUCUAGAGUCAAGCAAAAAAUUCAUGUUACGAUAGGCGAUAUAAUCUUCAACAAUAAUAUUCUGGUAGUGUGACGCCAAUAAGAGCGUAACAUUCCCACUCCGAGUCUGCUCGUCCCUUUCUUACAGUCAUUAAAUUGACCGUAUAGGUAUAAAGAACAGCCUAUGAUCCAAAGAAGGGAAAAUGUAUGAUGGAAGUAUUAAGAGCAAUAGUGAUAUUAAUUUUUGAAUAAGUACGUCUCGAAAAAACAGUUUAAUUAUGAAAGAAGAAAAAAAUUCUGAUUUGAACAUUAGCAGCACUAACUACAAUAAUUUUGUCGACAGUUUAACUAUAAAGAACAGCCUCCAAUUUAAAGAAGAGAUAAUC